rnacentral:rRNA from 1 species
GAUGAACGCUAGCGGGAGGCUUAACACAUGCAAGUCGAGGGGCAGCACGUCUUCGGAUGGUGGCGACCGGCGAACGGGUGCGUAACGCGUAUGCAACCUACCCUUAACAGGAGAAUAGCCCAGAGAAAUUUGGAUUAAUACUCCAUAGUAUUACGGAUUCGCAUGUUUCUGUAAUUAAAGUUCCAACGGUUAAGGAUGGGCAUGCGUGACAUUAGCUUGUUGGUGAGGUAACGGCUCACCAAGGCAACGAUGUCUAGGGGUUCUGAGAGGAUGAUCCCCCACACUGGUACUGAGACACGGACCAGACUCCUACGGGAGGCAGCAGUGAGGAAUAUUGGACAAUGGAGGAAACUCUGAUCCAGCCAUCCCGCGUGCAGGAAGAAGGCCCUAUGGGUUGUAAACUGCUUUUAUACAGGAAUAAACCCCUCUACGUGUAGAGGGCUGAAGGUACUGUAAGAAUAAGCACCGGCUAACUCCGUGCCAGCAGCCGCGGUAAUGUG